rnacentral:rRNA from 1 species
GACGAACGCUGGCGGCGUGCUUAACACAUGCAAGUCGAGCGGUAAGGCCCUUUCGGGGGUACACGAGCGGCGAACGGGUGAGUAACACGUGGGUGACCUGCCCUCAGCUCUGGGAUAAGCCUGGGAAACCGGGUCUAAUACCGGAUAUGACUCCAUGACGCAUGUUGUGGGGUGGAAAGCCUUGUGCGGCUGAGGAUGGGCCCGCGGCCUAUCAGCUUGUUGGUGGGGUGAUGGCCUACCAAGGCGACGACGGGUAGCCGGCCUGAGAGGGCGACCGGCCACACUGGGACUGAGACACGGCCCAGACUCCUACGGGAGGCAGCAGUGGGGAAUCUUGCGCAAUGGGCGAAAGCCUGACGCAAGCGACGCCGCGUGAGGGAUGACGGCCU